AAAAACAAGGGGGGUUUAGGGAGAAGAAUUCCCCCCACAAUUUUGUUUUGGAGGACGCGGGCCAAAAUUUUUUUGGGGGGGGCCACACAGGGGGGAAAUAUUUCUAAAAGGGGGGGGGGUGUUUAAACCCCCCCCAUUUGGGGGAAGGGGAAAGAGGGCCCUAACGGGUUUUAAACCCUUUUUUUGGGGGGGACCAAAAGGGGCCCCCGGGGGGGGGCCUUGGGGGAAACCCCCGAAGAAAAAGAAUGGGGUAAUUUCCGGUCCAAGCACCCCGGGUUAAUUCCGGAAAAUGGGGGCGUAAUCCGGAAUUUAAUGGGUUUAAAGGGGUGGCAGGGCGGCGGGUCAAGUCAGCGUCUCAAAGUUCGGGCUCAACCCGGUGAUGCCGUGAAACUGCGAGCCUGAGNUUCGUGGAGGAAGCNGGAAUGCGCGGUGUAGCGGUGAAAUGCAUAGAUAUCACGCAGAACCCCGAUGNCGAAGUCAGCCUUCCAUCACGCCACUGACGCUGAGGCACGAAAGCGUGGGUAUCGAACA
rnacentral:rRNA from 1 species